GCCUGUGUGGCUUAGUCAGUUAAGCGUCUGACUUCGGCUCAGGUCGUGAUCUCACUGUGAGUUUGAGCCCCACAUCGGGCU
rnacentral:tRNA from 1 species